GACGAACGCUGGCGGCGUGCUUAACACAUGCAAGUCGAACGAUGAAGCUGGAGCUUGCUCCGGUGGAUUAGUGGCGAACGGGUGAGUAACACGUGGGCAAUCUGCCCUUGACUCUGGGAUAACUGCGGGAAACUGUAGCUAAUACCGGAUACGAGGCUCGAAGGCAUCUUCGGGUCUGGAAAGAAUUUCGGUCAAGGAUGAGCUCGCGGCCUAUCAGCUUGUUGGUGAGGUAAUGGCUCACCAAGGCGACGACGGGUAGCCGGCCUGAGAGGGUGACCGGCCACACUGGGACUGAGACACGGCCCAGACUCCUACGGGAGGCAGCAGUGGGGAAUACUGCACAAUGGGCGAAAGCCUGAUGCAGCAACGCCGCGUGAGGGAUGAAGGCCUUCGGGUUGUAAACCUCUUUUAGCAGGGAAGAAGCGAAAGUGACGGUACCUGCAGAAAAAGCACCGGCUAACUACGUGCCAGCCGCCGCGGUAA
rnacentral:rRNA from 1 species